UACAGAGACCUCAAGCGUUAUCCGGAAUCAUUGGGCGUAAAGCGUACCGAUAGGUGGUUAAGAUAGUCAGAUGUGAAAUCUCCGAGCUCAACUCGGAAUCUGUCAUUUGAAACUUCUUGACUAGAGGGGCAAAGAGGAAGCUGGAACGAACGGUGUAGUAGUAAAAUGCGUUGAUAUCGUUCGGAACACCGAUAGCGAAGGCAGGCUUCUGGGUGCCACCUGACACUGCUAGGACGAAAGCGUGGGGAGCGAAUGGG
rnacentral:rRNA from 1 species